rnacentral:rRNA from 1 species
AUUGAACGCUAGCGGGAUGCUUUACACAUGCAAGUCGAACGAGUGGAGGACGGGUGAGAAAUAUAUCGAUACGUGCCCAAGAGCGGGGGAUAAAUACUCGCAAGAGUGGCUAAUACCGCAUUCUAUUGUAUCGGCCGAUAUCGGCUGAGCGAGUUGGUGGGGUAAAGGCAAACCAAGGAAACGAUCCGUAGCUGGUGGGAGAGGACGACCAGCCACACUGGGACGGAGAAACGGCCCAGACUCUUACGGGAGGCAGCAGUGGGAAAUUUUGGACAAUGGGGGCAAUCCUGAUCCAGACAUCCCGCGUGUAUGAGAAGGCCUUCGGGUUGUAAAGUACUUUUGUUCGAGAAGCGGUAUCUGCAGAAUAAGCACCGGCUAACUACGUGCCAGCCGCCGCGGUAAUUC